GGGAGCAUAGCUCAGUUGGUUUAGAGCAUCCGCCUGACAGGCGGAGGGUCCGCGGUUCGAGCCCGUGUGUUCCCACCA
rnacentral:tRNA from 1 species